UACAUAAUGCAUAUGGUGAAUGCCUUGACUCAUACUAGCGAUGAAGGGCGUAGCAGUCUGCGAUAAGCUUCGGGGAGGUGACGAGCAACCUUUGAUCCGGAGAUUUCCGAAUGGGAUAACCCAACCCAUUCUUCACUUCGUUCAGAAUGUAAUUUACAAUUUUCAAUUUACAAUUUUCAAAUAAAUUUUAAUUUCUAAUUUUUAAAUUUAGAAAUUAAAACAUUUAAAAUUGUUUAAAAAUUAAAAAUUUUAAAUUAAAAAUUUGCAAGUUUAUUUUAAUAGCAAAAUUUCUGGAUAAAGUGAAGAAUGGGUUAAUAUCAUCUGAAUUCAUAGGAUGAUAUGGCGUACCCGGCGAAUUGAAACAUCUUAUUAGCCGGAGGAAAAGACAUCAAUUGAGAUUCCCCAAGUAGUGGCGAGCGAACGGGGAAAAGCCUAAACCGUAUCCUUCGGGAUGCGGUGUUGCGAGAUAGUUGUACUCGUUUAAUCGGGGUAAUUUAUAUUUUAUUAGCAAAACGUCUCUGGAAAGAGCGGCCACAGAAAGUGAAAGCCUUGUAUGUGAAAAUGAAAUAUAUUUUAUGAAAUUAUUCUCAAGUAAGGCGGGACCGGUGAAAUCCCGUCUGAAUCCGGGGCCACUAUAGCUCCAAGGCUAAAUAUAGUAUGAGAUCGAUAGCGAACAAGUACCGUGAGGGAAAGGUGAAAAGUAUCCCGAUGAGGGAGAUGAAAUAGUAUCUGAAACCAUAUGCUAACGAAGAGUCAGAGCCCCGCCUCGGCGGGGUGAUGGCGUGCUUUUUGUAGAACGAUCCAGCGAGUUAGUUCUAUGUCGUUGACUAAGCAACUUUAUGUUGCGGAGUCGUAGUGAAAGCGAGCCUUAACGGGCGAACUUAAUGGCAUGGACUAGACCCGAAGCCAGGCGAGCUAUUUAUGAGCAGGGUGAAUCCCGAGUAAAAUCGGGAGGAGGCCCGAACCCACCAGCCGUGCAACACUGGGGGAUGACUUGUGAAUAGAGGAGAAAUUCCAAUCGAGCUUGGCGAUAGCUGGUUCUUCCCGAAAUAGCUUGAGGGCUAGCGUUUGAAAACUAUGCUUUGGAGGUAGAGCUACUGAAUGAGAAUUCGUGGUUCGCCAUAGGAUUCUCAACCAAACUCCGAAUUCCGAAGUAAUUAUUCAAGCAGUCAGUACUCCGGGGCUAAGCUCGGAGCACAAAAGGGAAAAAGCCCAUGAUCGCAAUCUAAGGUCCCAAAAUCUAUGUUAAGUGGUAAAGGAAGUAAAGUUUCUUAUACAUCUAGGAGGUUGGCUCAGAAGCAGCCAUCCUUUAAAGAGUGCGUAACAGCUCACUAGUCUAGAGACUUUGCGCCGAAAAUUCAACGGGGCUCAAACAUAGUACCGAAGAUGCGGGAAUUCUCUACGAAUUACGAAUUUGUACGAAUGUACGAAUGUGCGAAAUGCGAGUAAAAAAUUAUUCGUAAUUCGUAUAUUCGUACCGUAGUUAUUCGUAAUUCGUAGGGAAUUCGGUAGGGAAGCGUUCCAUAUGCGCUGAAGGUCGAGCGUGAGCGAGGCUGGAGUGUAUGGAAGUGAGAAUGCUGGAACGAGUAACCGCAAUUGGGGUGAGAACCCCCGACACCGAAAGUCUAAGGUUUCCUGGGCAAUGUCAAUCAUCUCAGGGUUAGUCGGGCCUAAGGCGAGGCCGAAAGGCGUAGUCGAUGGACACACGGUUAAUAUUCCGUGACUUUAAUAUUAUUCGAUGGAGUGACGUAUCCUAGUAGUUUUUGCCGAUUAUUGGAUUUUGGUAGAAAUAUUGAAAUGGCUAAACAGGCAAAUCCGUUUAGCAAUACAUUAAGAUAUUUCUGGAAUCCCGAUGCAAAUCGGGAGAACAAAAAUGAGCAGGGUAUCGAGAAAAGCUUCUAAGAUUAAUAAUAUUAGAACCGUACUAAAACCGACACAGGUAGACUGGGCGAGUAGCCUAAGGUGAACGAGUGAACCUUCGUUAAGGAACUCUGCAAAAUAGCGUCCGUAACUUAGGGAUAUGGACUGCCCGAUGCAAAUCGGGCCGCAGCUAAAGAUAUCAAGCGACUGUUUACCAAAAACACAGGUCUCUGCAAACCCGUAAGGGGAAGUAUAGGGGCUGACGCCUGACCAGUGCUGGAACGUUAACGGGAGCGGUGCAAGCCAAUCCCCGAAGCGCCAGUGAACGUCAGCGAUAACUAUAAUCGUUCUAAGGUAGCGAAAUUCCUUGACAGGUAAUGACGACAGAUAUUUGCCUGUAUGUUGUAGCGAUAUGACAUUAGAAAUCUGACUAAUAACGGUGAAACCUAAAUCCUAAAGAACUAUGGAUAUGGUAAUACCGUGGGAACUUGCUAUAAUUAUUUUAUAGUAAGACCUGUAACGACUGAAGCGAAAGCUGAGACUCGCGCAAUAUUUAUUCGCGGGUAAUACGUCAGCUCUUGUCGAACAAAAAAACAUAUGGAUUUUGCUUCUUAUGUUUCCGGCUUUAUUGAUGGUGAAGGAUGCUUUUCAGUAUCAUUCAACUUUCGAGAAAAGCUCAAAACUAAAAUUGAGGUUCGUCCGAGUUUUUCAAUCGGACAAAAUAUGCGCAGUUUGGAAAUUUUGAAAAUGAUUCAAAAAUUUUUCGAUUGUGGCAGUAUUCGUUUUUGCAAAAACGAUCAAUGCUAUAAAUAUGAAACAAGAAACAUUGGUGAUUUGCGGAAAAAAAUCAUUCCUCAUUUUAGAAAAUUUCCUUUGAUGACUAACAAGAAAGCAGAUUUUGAAAUUUUUUCGAAAAUUUGUGAAAAAAUAGCUCAAAUGAAACAUCUCAAUCCCGUUGGUCUUAAAGAGGUUAUUGAUUUAGCUUAUAAGAUGAAUGGGUAUGGAAAAAGGAAAUAUAAAAAAGCAGAACUCCUAAGUGUUUUGGCAAGAUGAAGAUAUAGUCUGAAUUUUCGCGAAAGCGAUCAAACGAAUUGAAAUUCUGUCCCGCAUUAAAGGCGUAACGACUUGGUAACUGUCUUAACGAAGAGCUCGGUGAAAUUGCAAUGGCGGUAAAGAUGCCGUCGACCUGCAGCAAGACGAAAAGACCCCGUGGAGCUUUACUACAACUUGGUAUUGAAUUUGAGAUCGUGCUGCCUAGAAUAGGUGGGAGGCUGUGAAAUUUCGACUCUGGUCGAGAUGGAGCCAAAAGUGUAAUACCACUCUGUAUAAUUUUAAAUUCUAACCCUGGGCUGUUAUGAGUUACUUUGACUUAUAAUUUGUGCCGUAAAAUAUGAUAAUGAAAAUUAUUAGGAUUAGAUAUGAAGUUGUAAUUAUCGUAUUUGCGGUUCACAAAAAAUUAUAAAGUCUUGGUUAUUCAUACCAGUCCGGGGACAGUGCCUGGUGGGUAGUUUGACUGGGGCGGUCGCCUCCUAAAUGGCAACGGAGGCGUUUACAAAGGUUGGCUAGGUCCGGAUGGAAAUCGGACUCGUCGUGCAAACGCAUAAGCCAGCUUUACUGCAAGACUCAUUAGUCGAUCAGUUACGAAAGUAGAAGUUAGUGAACCGACUGUCGCAUAUAGAUGCGCAGAAGAUCAUCAGAUAAAAGUUACCCCGGGGAUAACAGGCUGAUCCCUCCCAAGAGUCCAUAUCGACGGAGGGGUUUGGCACCUCGAUGUCGGCUCAUCGCAUCCUGGGGCUGGAGAAGGUCCCAAGGGUUUGGCUGUUCGCCAAUUAAAGCGGUACGCGAGCUGGGUUCAAACCGUCGUGAGACAGGUUGGUCUCCUAUCUGCUGUAGGCGUUAUUGCUUGAGAGGACUCUUUCUUAGUAAGAAAUUGCUACUUUCCCGCGUAAGCGGGAUUGACAAUCCGACUAAUAACGGUGAAACCUUCAUAAUUAUUUUGGUUUAAUGAAUCAAAAACAUUGCGGUUCUUUGUUUUUGUAGUAUAAUUAGGUUGAGGACCAUAAUAAUUUUUUAAGGUAAUACCGUGGGAAGUUGUUCUAAAACUGAUUUAGCUUAUAUUGCUGGUUUUUUAGAUGGUGAUGGAAGUUUGAUGAUGCAAAUAAAAAGAAGAAACGAUAAUGGAAGGUUUCGUUUCAUGCUUACAAUUUGUAUGUAUCAGGAUUCUCGCCAUGAAAAAACUCUGUUUUGGAUGAAGAGAAAAUUUAGAAUUGGAUAUAUAAGCAGGCGUAAUGAUAAUAUUACGGAAUUGCGAAUUAACGGUUAUAAGCAAGUGGAAAGAAUAUUGAAACUGCUUAAACCUUAUAUUAAAUUCAAAAAAAUCCAAACAAAGAUAUUGCUAAAAUCGGCAAAAAUUCUUCAAAAGAAAAAAAUAUCUGAAAAAGAUUAUAGAAUUUUAGUGGAUAAUAUUAUUUUGAUUCAAUCAGAAAAUUAUGUUACUAAAAGAAAAAAAACUAAAGAAGAAUUGUUGAAAGUUUUAGAAUUAACCCCGUAACGACUUUUCUGCCUCAUUGGUGGAAAGAUAGUGAUUGAUAGAAUUUGGAAAUAUAUCACUAUAAUAUGUCGGCUCCCCGAUUGAAUCGGGGAUGAAGAUAUAGUCUGCACUCCUAGAAAUAGGGGAAUAUGUGACGAGAGGACCGGAAAGAACAAACCUCUGGUGUACCAGCUGUUCCGCCAGGAGCACUGCUGGGUAGCUACGUUUGGACGGGAUAACCGCUGAAAGCAUAUAAGCGGGAAGCCCACCUCAAGAUUAGGCAAUUCCCGACGUAAGUCGGGACGAUUUGCUAGAAGAUGACUAGCUUGAUAGGUCUCAGAUGAAAGCGGAGUAAUCCGUUCAGUCGAGAGAUACUAAUAAAUUGAA
rnacentral:rRNA from 1 species